UGACCAAGGUUUGUUUUUCCUAAUUUUUUGUCUUUAAAAGUUUUUGCAUAUGAAUUGUGGUAAGAACUUAACUCAAUAGUAAUAGAUUACUGCAGUAAUAGCUAGACCUAUCUGGUUGUUUUUUUUUUCCAUUCCCCACGCCGUUGUAAACGCAUGUACCGGAUUAUUUGCACAGCACUGAAGAUCGCUAGAUGGCAGAUCGAUUGUCAUAAUAUAGCCUGGAUCAGUAGAUCCCGUUAUACUUUUCAUUAAAAUUUGUGAAUUUUAGCCAGAGAAAAGAAGCGCACAUCAUGGUUGUGCGUCGAAGCUUGUUUGUGCGACAUCUUGCAGACUGCGAACUCGCAAAUUCCACAGAUUGCUAGCAGGAAUUGUGCUGAGAACAGGCAGCACAAUCCCUGCAAAUGUCCUCUAUUGUGCCCCAUACCAUAGAAGAUGCCAAAGUAUCGAGCAAUAAACUACCAUAAUCCAUGAUUGUAUGUGCUUGAAAAUGACAUUAACCAUUUCUCCCCAACACAAACGCCAUUAUGCAAGAUGAGGUGGUGACAGAGCAGUCAUAUUGAGACAACGCAGCAUCAGUGUUAUUUUAACCCAACAGUAGGGUUGUUAUCAACACCAGUACUGGGUUAUUUGCAAUAGGCAUCUCGCAAUUUUAGGCGGUCUUUUUUUAUUCUUCGAGGAGACACGGUCAGUUCCACCAUUGUGAAAAUAAUAGUAGAAUAUAAAACUACAAUCAAUAAUAUUAUUCUUAAUGUUAAAUUGAGGAUGCGUUAACUGGGCUAUUGUGAUGCGAGUUUUAUCAACUUGACUAAAGCGGACAUCACACUACACGACACCUGUUGUAGCGUGUUGUGGCAUGAGAACAUACCGUAGAAAUAGCUAACAUUAGCAACGACUUUCAUUUAUACAACAGUUAGCAGCUAAUGCUCAACGUAGCCAGUAUUUCAAGAAAUGUAGUACUUACCAUUGUAGAUCAUAUUCGGGGAAAAAAAAAUAAAAAAUCAGGAACGUGCCGUAUGUAAUCCAUAAGUGAUACGUAAUCCAUACAGUAGUGUAAAGUUAUCCAUGAUGUCACGAUGAACAGUCUCAAUACCUAGCUACCGGUAAGCUAACUAUUUGCAAAAAGGACUGCUAGCAGCUAUAGCGUUAACUUAGCUUUAAUGUAAAUACAGCACUACUUUCAAUAGGUCACAUGAAAAAUAGAAUAAUAAUAAUUGGGAAGUCCAUUCUUGACAGCCUGACCACAGAUGGCUUCCUAACAAUUGCCCAGCGGCGAUGUAUGGUGCGCAUCCUGGUAUCCCACCUGAUCGAAAAACAUGGCGAAACACCUACUGCAGACACAAAGAUGGCCCUGGCAUCUUCUCUGGUGCUCGCAUUCCCAUGCCUCAAAGACUCAUCCAGCAGUGGUACUGACACCUGGUUUGCCAAGGGAAGAAGAGGCCAUCCUGC